UGAGGAAUAUUGGACAAUGGGCGAAAGCCUGAUCCAGCCAUGCCGCGUGUGUGAAGAAGGUCUUCGGAUUGUAAAGCACUUUAAGUUGGGAGGAAGGGUUGUAGAUUAAUACUCUGCAAUUUUGACGUUACCGACAGAAUAAGCACCGGCUAACUCUGUGCCAGCAGCCGCGGUAAUACAGAGGGUGCAAGCGUUAAUCGGAAUUACUGGGCGUAAAGCGCGCGUAGGUGGUUAGUUAAGUUGGAUGUGAAAUCCCCGGGCUCAACCUGGGAACUGCAUUCAAAACUGACUGACUAGAGUAUGGUAGAGGGUGGUGGAAUUUCCUGUGUAGCGGUGAAAUGCGUAGAUAUAGGAAGGAACACCAGUGGCGAAGGCGACCACCUGGACUGAUACUGACACUGAGGUGCGAAAGCGUGGGGAGCAAACAGGAUUAGAUACCCUUGUAGUCCCUGAGCGGGCUGGCAAGGCGCAU
rnacentral:rRNA from 1 species